GCCUAGUAGCGGGGGAUAACUACGCGAAAGCGUAGCUAAUACCGCAUACGCCCUUCGGGGGAAAGCGGGGGACCUUCGGGCCUCGCACUAUUAGAGCGGCCGAUAUCGGAUUAGCUAGUUGGUGGGGUAAAGGCUCACCAAGGCGACGAUCCGUAGCUGGUUUGAGAGGACGACCAGCCACACUGGGACUGAGACACGGCCCAGACUCCUACGGGAGGCAGCAGUGGGGAAUUUUGGACAAUGGGGGCAACCCUGAUCCAGCCAUCCCGCGUGUGCGAUGAAGGCCUUCGGGUUGUAAAGCACUUUUGGCAGGAAAGAAACGGCCUUGGAUAAUACCUGAGGCAACUGACGGUACCUGCAGAAUAAGCACCGGCUAACUACGUGCCAGCAGCCGCGGUAAUACGUAGGGUGCAAGCGUUAAUCGGAAUUACUGGGCGUAAAGCGUGCGCAGGCGGUUCGGAAAGAAAGAUGUGAAAUCCCAGAGCUUAACUUUGGAACUGCAUUUUUAACUACCGGGCUAGAGUGUGUCAGAGGGAGGUGGAAUUCCGCGUGUAGCAGUGAAAUGCGUAGAGAUGCGGAGGAACACCCGAUGGCGAAGGCAGCCUCCUGGGAUAACACUGACGCUCAUGCACGAAAGCGUGGGGGAGCAAACAGGAUUAGAUACCCUGGUAGUCCACGCCCUAAACGAUGUCAACUAGCUGUUGGGGCCUUUCGGGCCUUUGGUAGCGCA
rnacentral:rRNA from 1 species